rnacentral:tRNA from 1 species
GGGUGGGUGGCUCAGUGGUUAGAGCUAAAGUCUUGGGAGCGAAAGAUCCCGGGAUCGAAUCUCGUAAGAAACA